rnacentral:lncRNA from 1 species
CAUUUGGCUCUUGAUUCUUCGGGGAAAGCAGCUGUAGCGAAAUGAGAAUACAGGACCCCCUCCUCACACGCGCACACCCUGGUUCGCACGCAUUCCGGUACCCGUCACCUCGGAGCCAGCGAGACCUGGGAUCCAAAUGCGGUUCUGCCUCCUCCGGCCGUGGAGCACUGCAGUGUCGUCCUCCACGAGCCUCCCUGCCCCUGCUCCUGAUUCCCUUUCAGGAAUUUACAAACAUUUUCCCCAGAUCAAUAUCCGUAUUGAUUAUUCAUUGUGAGUGAGUCGUGUGUCUUUGGUGAUCCAGCUUGCAGAGGUAGCAGCCAAAGGCUGCUGCAGGGGGAAAAAAAUAACAGAAGGCGAGAGGGACCCAGCUCUUGCUGGGUCUGCGGCUGUCGGCAACACAGAAGGGAAGAGAAAAAGAGAAAAGCACCUCAAAACCAAGGAAUGGACAAGGGUGGAAGAGAAAGAGGGAGCAAUAGCAAGAAAAAAGGAAUUGAUGACCGGACAUCUGGUCCCAGGGAAUCUCGAUGGCUUGGAGGAAACCCCCAUCUUGGGUCUGCUGUUACGUGCAGGACGCAGUGGACUUUCUCUGCUCUGGGAGUGAAAAGUGACUCACAGUUUUGGUAUCUCCUACGUAAGAGCUUUGGGGGGAUUCCUUGGCUUGCUGACAGGCAAGGAAGACAGCAGCAGCAGUGAGGUAAAACACGAUUACUUCCAACUGCCUUGCGGAGGAUGUGCAGUCGUUUGGUUUGACUUGAACAGCUUGCUGCUCUCUGAUGGCACGCGGAGGGAGAAUAAUUAAAAAGGCCAGCAUCACUUACUAAGUGAGUAAACACAGAGCCGUUCCAAUCGUGCUCUCCAGCUAAUGAGAAGCUGUAAUUUCUUAUACUUCAAGGCAAGACGAGACAGUGAUGGGCUCAGUGGAGGGUGUGUUUGCGUGGAUAUGGGGUUGGGGGGGUAGUGGUGAUGGUAGAGAUAGAUCGACUAAUUGUUGGCAAUGUUUAAGAAAGGGAUUACUGGAAAAGACAGUGAAAUGAUGACAGGAAAACAUCUUGGACCAGAGCCAAAAAAAAAAAAAAAAAAAAAUCGAGGCAAAUCAAGUCUGCAGCUCGGAGAAAACACCCGUCGCUCCAGUGGGAAGCUCCGACAGGAAUUGCCCGAUGUUCCUUAGCCAAGUAUGGAAUAUUGUGUGGGCACAAGGGGACAGAAUGAGGGACCACCAGAGUCUGGAGGAAAGAGCCACGAUAUGCCAGGGUACACAGUGAUGUCAUACGUGGAGAAAAAAAUGAAAACCCCCAAACCAGACCAGAUCAAACCAAAACAAUAAAAACCAACUUGUGUCCUUUCCUUGUUAUGGGAGGCUUCUGCUUCAAUUUAUUAAAAGCAACCCCCAAAUGUGCCUUCUGAUAGUAGGAGCUGCUGAGUCUCUGUCUCCAGAAGCUGCUGCAAGGUUAUGGAAAGACGCUGCAAAAAGGAGGUUGAGGAAAUUCAGUUUUCCAUUGGUUGGGUUUCUGGCAACUGUGCCAGGCGAUUGUCUGCCAUUUGGACAGCCAUGGGGGUGCCAGUUUGGGAUUCCUCUUCUGUUGUCACCCAGCUGUGGCUUGGUGAGUCCCAAACCACCCAUAAAUAGGACUCUCUUAAUACAGUGUUCCAAACGCACAUGACAAAGUGGGGACCCCAAGUAAUAAAAUGAGCUGGGUUUUCUUUCU